rnacentral:lncRNA from 10 species
CAUCCAGGAAUUUAUCCAUUUCUUCUAGAUUUUCUAGUUUAUUUGCAGAGGUGUUUAUAGUAUUCUCUGAUGUAGUUUAUAUUUUUGUAGGGUCAAUGGUAUAUGUCUUAAGUUAAUGUGAAGUUGGUGUCAUUCUAAACCUGUUUUGUUAGGUAGUUACCAUAUUUCUAAGAUGACACUGGUUACAAGAUGUAUUUAUGUUCUACUUAGAAUGAAAAAAUACUGCCAAUUAAAGAUGACACAGUCUCAUUAAUAAGAUACAUCUCAUUUUUAGAAAUGUUAUAGUAUGAAAAACGUGCAUCUUGGAAUUAGUGAAAUCCAAUAAAGAAAAUCUCACUCUAAUCUCCCCCAGUCUAGCCUUUUCAUCAUUAAUGUUUCCCCAGUGUCCUAAAUUGGUUCAUAUCCCAUACAAAGUGUCAGAAUGGUGACUUCCUUACAGCAAGCCUUCU